rnacentral:lncRNA from 1 species
GUUAAAAUAGAAUCUACUUUGAAAUGCAAUCACAUUUUAAAGGUGAACGAAAUUAGAUUAAAAAAAAAAGCCUACCUUUUGAGUUACUUUCAGAAGAUAACACAGGUUCUCGAGGCUGGACAGUCCAAGAUCAAGGUGCCUGCAUCUGGCGUCUAGUGUGGACCCUAUUCCUGGUUUGCAGCAUUGUUGGUGCUCUGAGGGUGUCAGCCAGGCCACUCAUGCAGACCAUUGCGGCAGCACUGAAAAUGGAAGAAAGAUGGGAUUCUGCUGUCUUUUGUUUUGGCUGAUGAACAGCACCGAGAUGGAGUGGCUCCUUGUAUGACCUCUGAAAAUAUGACCUGAAGCAGAUGGAUGCACUCACAUAAGAAACAUCACCUGUGGCCUUCAUCGAAAAUGGGCCUGCUGCUUGAAGAAGUUGGGCUCUUGGAGUUCUCUAGCACAGGGGCCAUGAAAAUCAAUGACUUCCUUGUUUGCUGACGGAGCAGAGGUAGAAUCUCUUGGUGUUUCCACGGAGAAAACACUGACCAUGAAGAGCCAAGAAAGAUGACAUGAUGAAGCCAUCAGGGGAAGCACCAAACAUCCUCAACUCUGCUCACCCAUGGUUUUCUCCCGCCCUCCCAGAGCUCCUCCUGCUGGCCUUCAUUGGCAUCACCAGCACUGGAGCUAUUCCAGUGAGGAUUUUUGCUGCGGCACAUCACGGAGUGGCAUGAGAGGUCAGAGAACUCCUAGUAUCCCCCAAAUAUCCAUUCUGUUCUUCUUCCUUAGUGAUGGGCCCCCGACAUGAAACUGGCACUCAGAAUGAAGAAUGCCUUUUCCAGCCUCCCUCGCUGGUGGAGUCUCCGUGUUCCAGCCAAUGAAAGGAGGAAGCCUGGACAGCCUGCAGUUGAGGGGACCUGCACAAGCUCACAGGACUCUUCAUCACCAUGACACCACGCUCACCGCAAAAUAAAAAUGAUCAAACCUGUCAUGAUGUCAGCAGCACCGGUGUUGGUCUUUGUGGGAAAGAAAAACACAGGCCAGGGCUGCAGCACGAUUGUGUCUGCCCAGCUCUUGCAGCCUGGAGAACACCGUUGGAUUCCCUCCCACACAUGCUCCCAGGCUGCCUGCCUGCCUCACUUACCUGCUCAGGGUGGGGCUUGAGGGUGGCCCCUGGGAAGAGUAAGAACUGGCCAAGACUGAGAUGUCCUUCCCUCAUUUAAGGUACCGCCUUUUCCCUUUUCCCGCCAUCCUGGGUGCAUGGAUACUUGGGAUUAGAAACUGGACUGGAAAUGUAAUCUUUCUUCGGUUUGGGGCUGAGAACUGGGGAUUAGUAGGAUUUUGAGUUUAUGGCACAGCCUUUUCUUACACCAUUUCCUAAAAAGCAGUUAAGAUUACACCAGGCACAGUGGCUUACGCCUAUAAUCUCAGCACUUUGGGAGGCUGAGG